AUAGUGACAUCUCUUAUUGAAUAGCUGGAUUUCAUAAAUUUUGAGUAUUAAUUUCAUUAGGAAACAUUUUUUAUUUAAGUGCCUACUUUAUUAGUAUUAGGGGGUCGUUUUAAUACGUAUCAAAAACAUUUUUUUAUUAGUUGUAUUUGAGGUCCAUAUUUUGAAAUUAUCUUGAACGAUUUAAAUAUAAUUUUUUGAAAAUGAGAUUAAAAUUUUUUUACUCCUUUGAGAGGUGUAUACAAAUUUAUAUGAGAGGUAGGUAAAUGAAAGAACCCUCUGUAAGUUAUUGUAAGUUAAGAAAAAGAAUUUACCUAAGUGACUUUCUUAAUAAGAUGCAAUAUCAUCGUAGUCGAUUAAAUAGUAAUUAUUUGUUAUUUUAUAUACAAAGUGAGUCCAAAAUUGAAAUUCUCAUUAUAUUUCUUGUUUCGAAUGUAUCACACUGUAAUUUAUCUUCGUGUAAUUUUUUUUUAGUAUUCCCUAUACGUUAAACUUAUAAGAAAAUUGCUAAAAUUUAUUGUAAACCGUAAUUAUUACCAUUUCUUCAGAAAAUAUGAUCAAUCCAGUAUACCUAAUAUACAGGAGCUCCCAUCCAACUAAAUAAUAUGUUUGGUUUGUAAAGGGGUUGCAACAUUCAGUAUAGUUCGAGAUAAUUUCAAAAUAUGAUUUUUAAUGAUAUCAAUUAUUAUUUGGUACACUCUAUGUAACUCUUUCAACAUCUAUAUCAGGUUAAAAGACAAAAAUAAAUAACUAGUUUUAUACACGAAUUGGUAAAAUUAAUUUGAUAUCAUGAGAUAUCGUCUUUUUGGUUUGAUUGAUUAUUUUGGGGACAUCCUGUAGAUAAGUUUAGAUUGUAACCGUGAUUGAUGUUUAAAUAGCUACGAAAAUGAAUUUUUUUAAAUCUCAAAUACAGAAGACUCACCUUAUAUAUAUAUAAUCUACUUUGCAAAGCAUUUACAAAAAAUGUGUUUGUAAGAACGGAAUUUUUUUUGGAAAACUACUAGAAAACAUAUAUAUGAUUUUUAUUUUUCUAAUAUUAUAUUAGAAAAUACAAAUAGUUGAGAAAAACACUGUAUAUCAUAAUUGGUAAAAAUUUUUGGUAAAAAUAAUUUCAGAAAUAAAAUAAUGUGGGCAAUUAUAAUUUUCGGUUUUCGAAAAUUAUUUUUAAAAAUUUAUUUUUAAGUUUAAAUUACCAAAUGUAUUCAAUAAGUUAUCUAAAUCGUUCAUAAAAAUUAUAUAUUCAAAAUUAUUAGAUUAUCUCUUCCUUGCUCAAAGUUUGAUAAGGAUAGAUAAAAAAAAGGAAUAAAAAUAAGGAAACUUGGCACUUACAGCUAUCUGAAGUCCUAAAGUUCCUCGUUGAACACGUAGAUCUAGUGCUGCUGUACUGAAGUACGUAGUCGGAAUUUUUUAUCGCACUUUGCGUGAAAAAUCGCGACCGCACUAAUCCGAAUAACUGCGCCAAUUAUAAUUUUCGGUUUUCGAAAAUUAUUUUUAAAAAUUUAUUUUACACAAAAUUACAAUAAGUUGAAUGAAUAUAAUUAAUCUCACAAGCGAACUAACUAUAAACAUUACUAAGUUGUUUACAAUAAAUCAUAUUUAUAAUAAAAUAAAUGCUGAUGAAGUGUUUACGAUAUUUAAUACAAUUGGGUUUUAUAAAAUGUCCUUCAAGAAUUUUCUUCAUGUAACUGGGACUCUCUUCUGUCUUAAAAUCUCAAAACUUUUAGUUGUAAACAACUAAUAAAAUCAAGUUUGAAACAAAAAAGGAAUUUUUUGUAUAAUUGGAAUUCGAAAGCGAACAGAAUUUUAUUUUAAAAUAUCGUUUUAGUGAGAAUGAUUUUGAAUAAUUUUGUAGGGAUUUUGAUUUGAGAAUCGCAAAUUUAGUGAAAAAGUAAUUUUCCGUAAAAAAUUUUCAUGUUAUAUUUUGUUUAACUUGAAAACCACGAAGGCGAAUUCGACAAAUUUGAUUAGGUGUUGGUGCGCGAUUCUACGCGAAAUUUUAACCCGUUAACGAAACGAAAUGUAAAUGUAGUGCACGUUCCAUAAUGCGGUUUGCCAAAAAGUAGGUGAUUGUUGGAUAAAUAACAAAAAAAAAGAUUUUCCAUUCUUCAUAACAAAUAACUCAAACUAUAUAUUUUACGUUUCUACUUGGUACUGCUAGAUAAUUCAAUUCAUUUAAACGUACGUUGAAAUUUUCCAAUAUUGUAAAUCAAAUAAAUUUUUCUCCAUCCAUUAUUCCAAAAUUUAUGCUGAGAAAUUAAUAUUUUUCCCAAAAAUUGAAUGUAAUACAAUUUCAAUAUGAUAUACGAGGUAUAUCCACAAAGAAAGUUUUAUGUCACGUCAGAGGGUGAGAUGGGGCAUUAUCGUGAAAAAAAACAAAAACUAUUUGACAGUAAUCCUCGGAGUUUGCUCUGUUUCUUAAUUUCCACGCAUGCGCCAAAAUUAAACGGCAAAAGUCGGAGCAAACGGUGGAAAUGAGUUGUCGAGGUGUCGAAAUUUGCUUAGGGGUAUGGUAAGAUACCAAAAUUUCAUCCCCUAUGACUAUUCGAAAUAUAGGUUUUCAUUGCAACUUAGAAAUGGAACUUGUGGAUGUACCUCGUAUGAAGGAAAUGCUAAAAUCAGUUAUUAAAACUUUUUAUUCAAAUUUUUCUGAAAUUUUUGGUCCGAAUUAUUGCAUCAAAUUUUGAUUGAAAUGUUUUUUUUUGUUAUUUAUUGAGUGAGCAGAACUUUGAUCAGAUGUUGUUGGUUUUUGUGUUUUUGGGAAUUCUAGGAAUAUUUUGUUGAUAUUAAUACAGUUACAGAUUUUAAUUAUUGAAGAAAAAUAGUUUGAAUUUAUUUUUGAAUAACUUUUUCAACAUUCAAAAACGAAAAAUAUAUGGUGUGCGAAUCAAUAAAGCGGUAUGCCAAAAGGUAGGUGAUUGUUGAAUAAAUAACAAAAAAACAUAUUUCUUCAAUUUUUAUAACAAAUAUGUAUUUCAAACUACAAAUAUAUGUGUUUCUAAAAUGGUAAUGCUGCUGCAUCAGGAAUAUAUAAAUACAUGUAAAAUUCUAUUUUCUAUUAUCGUUUUUCUGUGUCACGCUUCUUUCCAAAACUUAACCUGUCUGAAAAAUAAAUUUUUUAUGUAAUAAAUUCUUUACAAAUUAAAUGUAAAACAAUUUUCCUAUUGUAAAGAAAAUACUAAAAUUUGUCAUACACGUCUAAAUAACAUUUUUAUAACAGUUUCAAGAUUAAUUUCAAAUGAAAUGUUUUUUUUUUGUUAUUUAUUGGGUGUGCUAUGAAAAUUAUUUCCAUGAUAAUUUGUUGAUGGUUACAAACAGGAGUCAUACAGGAGACAGGACACAUACAGGAUUCCAGGAACAUUUUGAUUGUUUACGUACGGAGAUAUCGUUUCAAAUUCGUUUACAUAAUUACCUAUUUAUUAUUAAACAGAGCCACUUUAUUUUUGACUUAAUUCGAAAAAUUUUAUUAAAAUUUAGAUUAAAUAUUAAGAAAUUAUACAAUACAUUAUUUUCCAAAAUGUCUUUAGAAACCAUUUAAAAUACAAAGAUUAUUUUGAGAAUAUUAUCCAAAUAACUUUGAUAAAAUUGAUUAGAUUCUGGUGAAAUUUUGUGUAAAAAUUGAUGGAGUAAAUUAAAAUUUGAAAGUUAAAUGUCCAUUCGUUUGGAAACGAGAAAAGAAGAUGAUAUGUUUGAAAUAACAAUUAGGGCAUUAUGAAAGUUAUUAAUUUUGAUAAAUUUGUUGAAAGAUUCGAAAAAAAUUGAGAGAGGCUCAAUAUAUGAAAAAUCCAUCUGAAUAUGAAUUGAAACGAAUUAUUUAUUUUUUUAGAGGUAUCUAGGUACAAUGAAGAGUUUGCAGUUCUUUGAUGUGUUAUAUUUCCAAAUUUUUGAAUUUAUACUUUCUUGUUUUGAUGUUUGUGUGAUAUGUGAUCGCAUGGUUAUCCCCAGGUACAAUAAGGACUUGUAGUUUUUAGAAAAUCUCCUUAAACUUUAUCCUUUCAAUUGACAAUUUACUAAUUUUUUUAUUUGAAUCAUAAUUAAUUAACGAACUUUUUGUUAAUUUUUUCAAUACUCUUGGUUAUAUAACUAAUUAAGUUUAACUUGUAGAUGUGAUUUCCAUUCAAAUGACUUUCUAUGUAAUCUGUUGAGAUUUUAUCAACUAUGAGCACGAGGCUGUUGAGUUAAGCUAAUUUUUUUUCAGAAAAUUAGUUCUCUAGAAACGACAAGUACAGGCUUGAAGUAGUUGCUCUAACGUAGUGGACUAAGAAGUCUCUGUUAUGGGGAUGAUUGUGUGAUGUAUGUCUUUGGAAUUUGAUCAUAAAUGAGGCAGGCAAGACCAUAUGUGACUACAAAUUUUUAUAUACAUUAAAUUAGGUUGGGUGAUUUCGUUUUCUAGUGAUAGUAAAGUUAUAACGCAAUGAUAAAAUUUUGUCUGAUGCUUACAAAGAUAUGAAAAUCAAGUUACUUUUGAGUUCUUUAUUUGAUAGAAAAGUUUCACAUCCAAAAAAAUCGCAUGAAAAAAAAAAAUUACAAAUAUCUGGAGAAUAAUAUUCGUAUGAAUUUUUCUUGUUAUGUUUGGUAUUUUCAGUUAAGUAAAUUGAAAGUAUGUGUGUGAUAAUUAUUGUAUCUUGUAUGCGUGUGUAAAAAAUUCCGUUUUGCAAUCUUCAUAUCGAUGGCUACUUCAUUUGUUAUAAAUUUUCGUUUUUCUUUCCCGAACUGGACCUGAAAUUUAAAAAUAUAAAAUGUUGUAAAUCUCAGAUCUGUGAAUUACUUUGAUAAUAAUUGAAUGAUAAAAUUAUUAUACACUUUUUUGUUCUUAUACAGAACUUAAUAAAAUUGAAUUUUUCGAAAUGAAAAUUACAUUUUUUUAAUAAUAAUUCGAAAAAAAAACAUAUUUUCUGGACAUUUUAUUUUAUAAUCGACUAUGAACAAUUUAUUCAAACGUUAAUUGUUUCUAAUUUAUAUUAACCCUUAAAAAAAGAAAACUGAAUCUGUUUCUUUUUUAAUUUUAAAUGUUUUCUGCUCAAGUUAGUUGAAUGUAUAUAUGUAAUAAUAUAUUUUGCAAAAUAAAAGAUUUUCUCAAGAGUUAUCGAAUAUCGAUAGCUA